UACGUAGGGUGCAAGCGUUAAUCGGAAUUACUGGGCGUAAAGCGUGCGCAGGCGGUUGUGCAAGACAGAUGUGAAAUCCCCGGGCUUAACCUGGGAACUGCAUUUGUGACUGCACGGCUAGAGUGCGGCAGAGGGGGAUGGAAUUCCGCGUGUAGCAGAGAAAUGCGUAGAUAUGCGGAGGAACACCGAUGGCGAAGGCAAUCCCCUGGGCCUGCACUGACGCUCAUGCACGAAAGCGUGGGGAGCAAACAGG
rnacentral:rRNA from 1 species